GCUAGUUGGUGAGGUAAAGGCCCACCAAGGCGAUGAUGGGUAGCCGGCCUGAGAGGGUGUACGGCCACACUGGGACUGAGAUACGGCCCAGACUCCUACGGGAGACAGCAGCUAAGAAUAUUCCGCAAUGGACGGAAGUCUGACGGAGCGACGCCGCGUGGAUGAAGAAGGCCGAAAGGUUGUAAAGUUCUUUUGCUAGGGGAGAAUAAGUGUGGGAGGGAAUGCCUGCACGAUGACAAGGACUAGCGAAUAAGUCCCGGCCAACUACGUGCCAGCAGCCGCGGUAACACGUAGGGGGCGAGCGUUGUUCGGAAUUACUGGGCGUAAAGGGCAUGUAGGCGGCUUGGUAAGCCUGGCGUGAAAGUCUGCAGCUUAACUGUAGGGAUGCGUUGGGAACUGCUUAGCUUGAGUUACGGAGAGGGAGCUGGAAUUCCUGGUGUAGGGGUGAAAUCUGUAGAUAUCAGGAAGAACACCGAUGGCGAAGGCAAGCUUCUGGCCGACAACUGACGCUGAGGUGCGAAAGUGUGGGGAUCAAACAGGAUUAGAUACCCUGGUAGUCCACACAGUAAACGAUGUGCACGAGGUGCUGGGGCGGUAGUUUCAGUG
rnacentral:rRNA from 1 species